UACAGAGGUCUCGAGCGUUGUUCGGAUUCAUUGGGCGUAAAGGGCGCGUAGGCUGCGGUGCAAGUCGGGUGUGAAAUCUCAGAGCUCAACUCUGAAACUGCACUCGAUACUGCUUUGCUUGAGGACUGGAGAGGAGAUUGGAAUUCACGGUGUAGCAGUGAAAUGCGUAGAUAUCGUGAGGAAGACCAGUGGCGAAGGCGGAUCUCUGGACAGUUCCUGACGCUGAGGCGCGAAGGCCAGGGGAGCAAACGGG
rnacentral:rRNA from 1 species